AUGAGCACAGUCCAGUUUGCAUUGCUAUGUUUUUGGAUGGUGCAAGAUUUUGUGAGCUGUCUUAAUAUGACGACGCUGACUGUAGCGUUGGGAGACUCGCUGACCUUAAACUGCACCUACAACUGCUCCACUGGAUUCAUCCGCGGCUGCUGGCACAAGGCGUCCGAGAAAUCGGCGUGUCUCGGAUCGUACACCGGAAGCAGCUUCUGCACAGCGUCGCUUCAUCUGUCAAAUGUGACCAUGGCAGAUGUGAAUACGAACUACACGUGCUACACAGAAGAUAAGGAUGACCCCCGACUUCCACAGAAGACAGAGAGCGUUGUCUUUCUGCAGCCUAAAGAUUUAAAACGUGAUCCAAACAGGACAUUAACUCCAAAGACUAAAACUACAAAUGAAUCCCAUCCUGCAAAACCAAAUGAUUCAAGUGAAGGGGAAUUCACUGGGCUGAAGGUUUUAGCAACAGUGACCCUAGCUGUGGCCACAGUGCUUGCAGCACUGGCUCUUUAUCUGUGUCUGAACCGAAACAGGCAGAGCUGCAAUGGUAAAGGCGAACCUGCUGAGACCAGGUUUGGCUCAUCGCCACCAUCUCACAUUGUCCUCUCGCCAGGGAAAGGAUCAAUGCAAAAUGAGAAGGUGACACUGAGGAUUCCCUCGCCAGACAACGAGAGUGACACUGAAGUUCCCUAUGCUGAUAUAAUGAUCACCGUCCGCGGCGUCAGCACACCAGAGCUCACGCAGGUCGGCUACUCUGCUGCUGAUAAUAAAGAGCGGUGGGGAGAUGAGCCACGGUGUCACCUGCUGGCCUCGCGCUCAGCUGACAGACUGCACGUGCCCAUGGCCAGAGAGGUGAGCCGGAAGAUGAGCACCAACUCCGAGUACGCGGUCAUCACGUACGCCUGACUGAGGCCCUGCUACGCGAAGGACAGCGCGAGGAGAGAAAUACCCGGAUUUAGUUAUACGUGCUAAUACAUGUUCACUGUUUUUGUCUUUUUUAUGUAUUCUAUUUUUUGUAUACACAUUAUUGUUUUGUCUUUGUGUGCUAUGUUGACAUUGUUAAUAUAAUAAAGCUUCCUUCUGACGUUUUAUGUUUUUAUGG
rnacentral:lncRNA from 1 species